rnacentral:rRNA from 1 species
GGUGAACGCUGGCGGCGUGCUUAAGACAUGCAAGUCGAACGCAGUCUUCGGACUGAGUGGCGCACGGGUGAGUAACACGUAACUGACCUACCCCCAAGUCGCGAAUAACCAGCCGAAAGGAUGGCUAAUACGUGAUGUGAUGAUCCGCUGUGGCGGAUCAUUAAAGACUUGAUCGCUUGGGGAUGGGGUUGCGUUCCAUCAGCUAGUUGGUAAGGUAAAGGCUUACCAAGGCAACGACGGAUAGCCGGCCUGAGAGGGUGGCCGGCCACAGGGGCACUGAGACACGGGUCCCACUCCUACGGGAGGCAGCAGUUAGGAAUCUUCCACAAUGGGCGCAAGCCUGAUGGAGCGACGCCGCGUGAGGGAUGAAGGUUCUCGGAUCGUAAACCUCUGAACCAACGACGAAAGACCCGACAAGGGAGAUGACGGUAGUUGGGUAAUAGCACCGGCUAACUCCGUGCCAGCAGCCGCCGCGGUAA